UCCAAGGUCUGGAGCUCACUGCAGUGUCUGUGCGAGUCCGUAUGAGGAGGCUGAUGGGUCUGUGACAGAAGGCUGACGAGUUUACGCUGGAAAGCUUUAGGAUCCAAGGGAGCAGCCGAAGAGUCCGCCCUGGAAGCCAGAAGAUGACCUCCAAGCUGAAGGCAAAGACUGGAGCUCCUCCAAGCAACGGAAGCCCGUCCGUCCUUCCUCAUUUCCCUUUUAUACCGCCCAGGUGACGGUUUAAGGGUGUACAACUGCUGAGCCAAUUUUAGUAAGAAAAAUCAAGGAAAAAAAGAAGAAGAUAAUACAUUGAUGGCCAACCUGAAAAGAGAGAUCACACCACUUGCCUAAGAUGUAUAUAUUCCAACAGGGGUCUACGAGCCAUCCGUUGAGCCCUACUGGCUUAAGUCCAUCACUUCUAUGAAUCAAAAACAAUAAAAUGAAAAAAAGAAUCAGA